rnacentral:rRNA from 1 species
AUUGAACGCUGGCGGCAUGCCUUACACAUGCAAGUCGAGCGGUAGAGAGGUGCUUGCAUCUCUUGAGAGCGGCGGACGGGUGAGUAAUGCCUAGGAAUCUGCCUAGUGGUGGGGGAUAACGUUCGGAAACGGACGCUAAUACCGCAUACGUCCUACGGGAGAAAGCGGGGGAUCUUCGGACCUCGCGCCAUUAGAUGAGCCUAGGUCGGAUUAGCUAGUUGGUGAGGUAAUGGCUCACCAAGGCGACGAUCCGUAACUGGUCUGAGAGGAUGAUCAGCCACACUGGGACUGAGACACGGCCCAGACUCCUACGGGAGGCAGCAGUGGGGAAUUUUGGACAAUGGGCGAAAGCCUGAUCCAGCAAUGCCGCGUGAGUGAUGAAGGCCUUAGGGUUGUAAAGCUCUUUUACCCGAGAUGAUAAUGACAGUAUCGGGAGAAUAAGCUCCGGCUAACUCCGUGCCAGCAGCCGCGGU